AGACCUCAGCUCAACUGGAGACCAGCAUGUCUGCGUGUAGCCCAUUGCCCCAUACUUCCUGUAAUCCCAGAAAGAGGAACAGAGAAAAUGAGAUCAUUAAAGAGAAUAGAAUGUAGACUGCCACAUCAAAUAAGAAGAAGUGAGAAGCCUGUGUUUUCAUCCCAGUGGACCAAGAGGAAAGGAGGAAAGAAGCAAGGAAGGAAAGCAGUUUUACCUUUUUCACUAAUCCCAUAUUUUUCAGUGAACACCACUCUUUUAACUUCUCUGGUAAAUUCCAAAACCUGCUUUCUGGAUAGUUCCAUGUGAACUUAUCACCACUGCACCAUAUCUAGCAUACUAUGUGCUACAUGCUAAAUUAAGUCUCUCUUAUCCAAGAAAAAAAAAAAAAAA
rnacentral:lncRNA from 1 species